rnacentral:rRNA from 1 species
GACGAACGCUGGCGGCGUGCCUAAUACAUGCAAGUAGAACGCUGAAGGAGGAGCUUGCUUCUCCGGAUGAGUUGCGAACGGGUGAGUAACGCGUAGGUAACCUGCCUGGUAGCGGGGGAUAACUAUUGGAAACGAUAGCUAAUACCGCAUAACAGUAGAUGUUGCAUGACAUUUGCUUAAAAGGUGCAAUUGCAUCACUACCAGAUGGACCUGCGUUGUAUUAGCUAGUUGGUGAGGUAACGGCUCACCAAGGCGACGAUACAUAGCCGACCUGAGAGGGUGAUCGGCCACACUGGGACUGAGACACGGCCCAGACUCCUACGGGAGGCAGCAGUAGGGAAUCUUCGGCAAUGGACGGAAGUCUGACCGAGCAACGCCGCGUGAGUGAAGAAGGUUUUCAGAUCGUAAAGCUCUGUUGUAAGAGAAGAACGAGUGUGAGAGUGGAAAGUUCACACUGUGACGGUAUCUUACCAGAAAGGGACGGCUAACUACGUG